AUUGAACGCUGGCGGCAGGCCUAACACAUGCAAGUCGAACGGUAACAGGAAGAAGCUUGCUUCUUUGCUGACGAGUGGCGGACGGGUGAGUAAUGUCUGGGAAACUGCCUGAUGGAGGGGGAUAACUACUGGAAACGGUAGCUAAUACCGCAUAAUGUCGCAAGACCAAAGAGCGGGACCUUCGGGCCUCUUGCCAUCGGAUGUGCCCAGAUGGGAUUAGCUAGUAGGUGGGGUAACGGCUCACCUAGGCGACGAUCCCUAGCUGGUCUGAGAGGAUGACCAGCCACACUGGAACUGAGACACGGUCCAGACUCCUACGGGAGGCAGCAGUGGGGAAUAUUGGACAAUGGGCGCAAGCCUGAUGCAGCCAUGCCGCGUGUAUGAAGAAGGCCUUCGGGUUGUAAAGUACUUUCAGCGGGGAGGAAGGGAGUAAAGUUAAUACCUUGCCGCAUUGACGUUACCCGCAGAAGAAGCACCGGCUAACUCCGUG
rnacentral:rRNA from 1 species